GCGGGUGUGGUUCAGUGGUAGAAUGCUACCUUGCCAAGGUAGAGAUACGGGUUCGAUUCCCGUCACCCGCUCCA
rnacentral:tRNA from 1 species